UAAAACAAGUUAUAGUAAGGGGGUUGCAUUAAAACAAGUUAUAGUAAGAUGUGCCAUUUUCUUUUGACUGCCACUCCACUCCAUGCUUUUACUGUGUGCUCACAUUUGUUUUCUCAACUUCAUGCGAUACAUCUUCAGAUCUCUUUCUCGCAUUUCCAUCGUUUCUUCACUACAAGAUCGCUAGGUUCUGAACCUUUUGCUGCAUUGCCUGGAUAUGUGUUUUAAAGCUCGAGCAGGACUGCUGCGGAGAAAAAUGAAAUACUUCUCUACAUUUCCAGUCUCUUUUUUAAUCUACUUUGGUGCCUAUGUUAAAUAUUAGCAGUAGCCUAUACUCUAUAUUGAUAUAAAAUGUAGACACUUUGAAUUGCUUUGCCCUGCUGAUUCAAUCAUGCACUGUUACUAUAAUUUGUGAAUGAUGUUACUGUCGGGUUAACCAUGCUAUAUUACAUGGUAGUCAAGACAUAGCACGAGACGCCUAGCUAGACUCAAUACAUUUUAAGAAUGCAAUCAAUCAUCAACAAGUCCCGUUAAACAAUGACAAUAAAUAUUUUCAGAAAGAAAAUAAGGGGUAGUAUAAACUGUGCCAGAAAUCAAGUUCAACUUCAGAACAUGAAGUUGACAGGACAAAUCCUAGCAAGAUGAAGGACCCAGGUAAAGAAACUUCACGUUCAAGAAGUCUUAAAGACUCGAAUUGGCUAAAUGAAAAA